UACGUAGGGUGCAAGCGUUGUCCGGAAUUAUUGGGCGUAAAGAGCGUGUAGGCGGCCCCGUUAGUCCGCUGUGAAAGUCCAGGGCUCAACUGGAAUGCCGGUGGAUACUGCGGGGCUAGGAGUCCGGAAGGGCGAGGUGGAAUUCCUGGUGUAGCGGUGAAAUGCGCAGAUAUCGAGAGGAACACCUGCGGCGAAGGCGGGAUAGCUGGGCCGGAAGCACGUGACGCUGGACGGCGCG
rnacentral:rRNA from 1 species